rnacentral:rRNA from 1 species
UACAGAGGGGGCAAGCGUUGUUCGGAAUUAUUGGGCGUAAAGAGCUCGUAGGCGGUUUGUCGCGUCUGCCGUGAAAGUCCGGGGCUCAACUCCGGAUCUGCGGUGGGUACGGGCAGACUAGAGUGAUGUAGGGGAGACUGGAAUUCCUGGUGUAGCGGUGGAAUGCGCAGAUAUCAGGAGGAACACCGGUGGCGAAGGCGGGUCCCUGGACAACACCUGACACUGAGGCACGAAAGCUAGGGGAGCAAACAGG